UUAACCUACGGGGGGCAGCAGUGGGGAAUAUUGCACAAUGGGCGCAAGCCUGAAGCAGCGACGCCGCGUGCGGGAUGGAGGCCUUCGGGUUGUAAACCUCUUUUGUUCAGGGGCAAGACACGGUCUUUGGCCGUGCUGUGUGGAUUGUUCGAAUAAGCACCGGCUAACUACGCGCCAGCAGCCGCGGGAAUACGUAGGGUGCAAGCGUUAUCCGGAUUUAUUGGGCGUAAAGGG
rnacentral:rRNA from 1 species